AUUCGCUUGGUGCAGGUCGGGAACUGAUUCGGCGAUUUGAUUGCCAGAUGGCUAAACACGAUUGGCUGUGAGGCAAAUUAUAAAAAGAAAGAGAAUUGGAUCCCGCCUUGCAUCAACUGAA
rnacentral:pre_miRNA from 13 species